rnacentral:rRNA from 1 species
AUGCCUGACUCAUCAAAGCUGUUUGUGGUUAAAUCCAAGGAAUUGGUGCAAUACCAGGUCAUGGAGGGGAGCAAGGACAUGCAAGAGUCAGACACUGAACCUGUUGUUCAAGUACCCAGAGAGCCUGCCAUCAUUAUCAAUGGUCUCCCAGACUUGCCUCCUGAAUUCGCAUCUGGUUCGCAACUUGCAGAAGAUCUUGAGUGGCACGAACUGGAGGAGAUCCUGCUACCGUUGGACAUAACCAUUCCGCUCAAAACACUUGUGAUGGACAAAUUCAAACAUCAGAAUGGUGUUCCCAACUACAGAACUAAGGUGGCUAGACCAAGAAGUAAUGUUGCUAGCAAUCAGAUGGUGGUUAGAGCAGUAAAUGGCCAACAGUCAAACAACCUACCACUCCCAGGGUUGGUUCAGGCGUCAACAUCAGCAGGAGAAAAUGCUCUAGUAUGUCUGAAACCUAGUGAUCAACCUAAGAAAAGGGGCAGGCCUCGAAAGGAUGGAACUGCAUCAGGUGAGCUUUCAAAACAAAGAAGUACAUCAGGUGAUAUUCAACCUAAAAAAAGAGGCAGACCUCCAAAAGAACCUGGAGAGAAGAGUAUUGAUAGGCGCAAGUUAGAGACUGUCAGGGCAGAAAAACUGAAGAGAGAAAGCAUGCUUCUGCGAGGGCCACCACCUGGAAGUCAGUAA